CCAAUAGCGUAUAUUAAAGUUGUUGCAGUUAAAAAGCUCGUAGUUGAAUUUCGAGAUCGGCUUACUGGUCGUGCUUUUGUACGUACUGGUAAAUCGGUUUCUCCUUUCUGACGAACUUUAAUGCCAUUAAUUUGGUGUUUUAGGGAAUCAGGACUGUUACUUUGAAAAAAUUAGAGUGUUUAAAGCAGGCUCACGCUUGAAUACAUUAGCAUGGAAUAACGGAAUAGGACGUUUGAUUCUAUUUUGUUGGUUUCUAGGAUCGACGUAAUGAUUAAUAGGGAUAGUUGGGGGCAUUAGUAUUCAAUUGUCAGAGGUGAAAUUCUUGGAUUUAUUGAAGACUAACUACUGCGAAAGCAUUUGCCAAGGAUGUUUUCAUUAAUCAAGAACGAAAGUUAGGGGAUCGAAGACGAUCAGAUACCGUCGUAGUCUUAACCAUAAACUAUGCCGACUAGGGAUCGGAUGAUGUUAAUUUUUUAAUGACUCAUUCGGCGCCUUACG
rnacentral:misc_RNA from 1 species